rnacentral:rRNA from 1 species
GAGUUUGAUCGUGGCUCAGAUUGAACGCUGGCGGCAUGCCUUACACAUGCAAGUCGAACGGCAGCACGGGAGCUUGCUCCUGGUGGCGAGUGGCGAACGGGUGAGUAAUGCAUCGGAACGUAUCCUGGAGUGGGGGAUAACGUAGCGAAAGUUACGCUAAUACCGCAUAUUCUGUGAGCAGGAAAGCGGGGGACCUUCGGGCCUCGCGCUCUUGGAGCGGCCGAUGUCGGAUUAGCUAGUUGGUGAGGUAAAGGCUCACCAAGGCGACGAUCCGUAGCAGGUCUGAGAGGAUGAUCUGCCACACUGGAAUUGAGACACGGUCCAGACUCCUACGGGAGGCAGCAGUGGGAAUUUUGGACAAUGGGGGCAACCCUGAUCCAGCCAUGCCGCGUGAGUGAAGAAGGCCU